AAUAAGUUUGAUUCUUUCUUGAAUUUUUAUAUAUUUACUGAAAUUGCAUGAGAAUUAUGGUAUGUAUAAACUGUUGUUUUUUAAAAGAAAAGUAAAAUGGAAGUAGAAAUAAAUUAUCGAUAAUAGUGAAAUGCUCAGCAUAUAAUAUUAGUUAAUUUAAGAAAUUAAGAGUUAGCAUGUAAAAAAAGAUCUGAUGAAACAUUGUGCCAGCAGUCGCGGUUAUACAUUGGGGUCAAAUAAAAAUUAAAUAUUAUUUAGUUAAAUUUAAAUGAAUUUAGUUAUAAAAUUACUUAAAAAUUUGAAGGUAAAAUUGAAAGAUUUUUAAAGUUGUUAAUUGGAUAAAAAUUGAAGCUAAAAAAGUUUAGGCUUAAACUAGGAUUAGAUACCCUAUUAUACUAAAAAAAAAAUUGAAAAGUUGAUUAUUAUUAGAUAUGUGCUUAAAAUUUGAAGAAUUUGGCGGUAGUUUAGUCUUGUUAGAGGAACCUGUUUUAUUAAAUCGAUAAACCGCGUAAAAUCUUGCUUUUUUUUGUUGAGCAGCUUAUAUACCGUCAUUAACGGAUAAUUUUAUGAGAAUUAAUUAUUAAGAUUUAUAAAAAUAAAUAAAAUUAGAUCAAGGUGUAGCCUAUAAAAAAGCUAAAAUGGGUUACAAUAAAAUUUGUUUAGAACGUAUUUAUGAAGUAAGGUUUAUAAUGAAGGAGGAUUUAAUUGUAAUUAUAAAUUAAUAUAUUAUAAUGAUAUAUAGCACUAAAUUAUGUACAUAUUGCCCGUCGCUUUCAUUCAAAGAUGAGAUAAGUCGUAACAUAGUAGGUUUAUUGGAAAUUGAACCUGGAUUGGU
rnacentral:ncRNA from 1 species